rnacentral:rRNA from 1 species
GACGAACGCUGGCGGCGUGCCUAAUACAUGCAAGUAGAGCGCAGUUGCGAACGGGUGAGUAACGCGUGGGUAACUGCCUGGUAGCGGGGGGUAACUAUUGGCAACGAUAGCUAAUACCGCAUACUACCAGAUGGACCUUCGUUGUAUUAGCUAGUUGGUGAGGUAACGGCGCAACAAGGCAACGAUACAUAGCCGACCUGGGAAGGUGGUUCGGCAACCCGGGAACGGGGCAAGGGCCCGACUUCUACGGGAGGGAGGAGGAGGGAAACUUUGGAAAUGGGGGGAAACCUUACCGAGCAACGCCGCGGGAGUGAAGGAGGGUUUCGGAGUGGUAAGCUCUGUUGUGAAGGAAGCGGUACUUAAACAGAAAGGGACGGCUAACUACGUGCCAGCAGCCGCGGUAAUUC